rnacentral:misc_RNA from 1 species
GAAAUGCGAUACGUAAUGCGAAUUGCAGAACUCAGUGAAUCAUCAAAUCUUUGAACGCAAAUGGCGCUCUCGGGAUAGGCCUGGGAGCACGCCUCUUUGAGUGUCGAUUCAAUCAAACUCAGCGACCUGCUCUUUAUUGGUGCGGGAUGCAGCUGAACAUUGAGUGUCUCACGAAAGUGUGUCACUUUAAGCGGAGCGAGUCUCCUUUUUUCUAGCACUUGCAAAGCUUCGGCUCUGCAUAGCCUAGGAUGAGUUUUGCCCUGCAAACUCGUGCCUGCUAGUGAUGCGGAUAAUCACAUUUGUGUGUUCCAUCAUGACUGGUAGGAGCGAGCUUCUAA